CCGGUUCCGGUUCACACCCCAAGGCAAAUUCGCCCGGGUGACCCGGCGACC
rfam:Gordonia araii NBRC 100433 DNA, contig: GOARA076.